AGCAUGCGAGUCGAUGUAGCAAUACAUGGCGUACUGCUCAGUAACACGCGUCAACCUACCCUUCGGACGGGUAUAAACCCGGGAAACUGGGUAUAAUCCCCGAUAGAUCUCGGUCGCUGGAAUGCUCCGAGAUCGAAAGCUCCGGCGCCGGAGAAAGGGACUGCGGCCUAUCAGGUAGUAGUGGGUGUAGCGUACCUACUAGCCUACGACGGGUACGGGUUGUGAGAGCAAGAGCCCGGAGAUGGAUUCUGAGACACGAAUCCAGGCCCUACGGGGUGCAGCAGGCGCGAAAACUUUACAAUGCCGGCAACGGCGAUAAGGGGACCUCGAGUGCCAGGUUACAAAUCUGGCUGUCGUGAUGCCUAAAAAGCAUUGCAUAGC
rnacentral:rRNA from 1 species